rnacentral:rRNA from 1 species
CGCGCAGGUGGGUUAGCAAGUCAGAGGUGAAAUCCUACAGCUUAACUGUAGAACUGCCUUUGAUACUGCUGAUCUUGAGUACGGAAGAGAGAGAUGGAAUUCCAGGUGUAGUGGUGAAAUACGUAGAUAUCUGGAAGAACACCAGUGGCGAAGGCGAUCUCUUGGUCCUUUACUGACACUAAGGCGCGAAAGCGUGGGGAGCAAACA